GAUGAACGCUGGCGGCGUGCCUAAUACAUGCAAGUCGAGCGAACAGACGAGGAGCUUGCUCCUCUGACGUUAGCGGCGGACGGGUGAGUAACACGUGGAUAACCUACCUAUAAGACUGGGAUAACUUCGGGAAACCGGAGCUAAUACCGGAUAAUAUAUUGAACCGCAUGGUUCAAUAGUGAAAGACGGUUUUGCUGUCACUUAUAGAUGGAUCCGCGCCGCAUUAGCUAGUUGGUAAGGUAACGGCUUACCAAGGCGACGAUGCGUAGCCGACCUGAGAGGGUGAUCGGCCACACUGGAACUGAGACACGGUCCAGACUCCUACGGGAGGCAGCAGUAGGGAAUCUUCCGCAAUGGGCGAAAGCCUGACGGAGCAACGCCGCGUGAGUGAUGAAGGUCUUCGGAUCGUAAAACUCUGUUAUUAGGGAAGAACAAAUGUGUAAGUAACUAUGCACGUCUUGACGGGACCUAAUCAGAAAGCCACGGCUAACUACGU
rnacentral:rRNA from 1 species